GAUGAAGGGGGCUAGCGUUGUUCGGAAUUACUGGGCGUAAAGCGCGUGUAGGCGGUUGUCCAAGUUGGAUGUGAAAGCCUUGAGCUUAACUCAAGAAAUGCAUUCAGGACUGGAUGACUAGAGGACCGGAGAGGAUAGUGGAAUUCCCAGUGUAGUGGUGAAAUACGUAGAGAUUGGGAAGAACACCAGUGGCGAAGGCGGCUAUCUGGACGGUUUCUGACGCUAAGACGCGAAAGCGUGGGGAGCAAACAGG
rnacentral:rRNA from 1 species